GUCUCUUUCCACAGCAGUGGUGCAGGGAGGAACCCCUUUUGCAGCCAGUGGGAGAGACAAAACAAAAACCAGAGGAAAGUUGUCGUGGCUGCCAAGAGCUUGUGGCUGCCAUGUUUUCCUGCCUCUUACAUUG
rnacentral:snoRNA from 1 species